rnacentral:tRNA from 1 species
GCGCCCGUAGCUCAACGGAUAGAGCAUCUGACUACGGAUCAGAAGGUUGGGGGUUCGAAUCCCUCCGGGUGCA